GUGCUUGCUUAGGCAGCACAUAUACUAAAGUUGGAAUAAUACAGAGAAGAUUAGCAUGGCCCAUGCACAAGGAUGACAUGCAAAUCUGUGAAGUGUUCCAUUAAAAA